GGCCGCGGAAGGAGCCUGAGGCCCAGAUGCAGCGGGGGAGACCCGGCCCCCUCGUCCAUCUCGGUCUAGUGGAGGACACCUUGGAGCGGACAGGACGGAGAGUGGAAGCCGCGGCGCGGACCCGGACAGGACCAGCAGGCCCCGCGGACGGUGGAGGAUCGACUAACCGACCGCCCCCUCACUGCGUGCCACGGGCACUGCGCCGGCCCCACGGCGAGGGAGCCGGUUGGCACCGGUCUCCUGCCACCUGGCCGCCCCCUAAAUGUAUCCCCUCCCCACCGGACAAUGCCAUUUCCUUUGGGGGACAAGGGUCAAACCCCGCAUCGUGGGUGCCACAAAAGUCUAGCAACUCCAGGAGGUGAUGGAGGUUGUGUGUGUGUGGUGUGAGAUCGAGGGCCGGGGCCAGAGCAGGGGUGAGAGGCAGCGGGUGGAGGGGUCGCCCCUCUUUGAGCGGGGAGACGGGUCCUCGAAACGGGGGCCCGGAGCUCUGGACGGGCGUUCGACACACGGACCUUUCGGCGGGCGUGAGCGACGGCUGGGGCCCUUAAUUCUAUAGACAGUGCGUCCCGCCUCGCCGUCUGGUCCGUUGAGUUCCCUGCCCAUCUCCUGGCUUCAAGAGUAGAGACCCUUUCCUGCCCAAGGGGGGGGUGCCCCUGGGGGAGCGGGGUUUAGAGACAGGAGAAGUCAGGGGUGUGCUUGUGUGCGUGUCUCCCGUGUGUUAUCCAGCCCUCCUGGAGGAGCAGAAUGAGGGGUGGGGAAGCCGAGUAGCAAAUCCUCCAGUGGGAAGAUGCAAAGGGAUCCCACCCCCUACCAAAGGAAGUGGCGCAGUCCGAUUCCUGUCCCUCCCUGGGCUCUGUAAGGCCAAAUGUAUCAAUCUGGAAUAAAACGUAGACUUUUUUUUCAUCACUAUCAAGUCUCCUCGAGCUGCCGGCCCCACACUAAGGCUGAGUCGGGGGCACCGGCUUCUGUAGUCAAAGCGGGAGCGAUGCCAGCGGUUUCUGACCGGUAGAUUGACCACCUAACACUCUCACUCCUCCCUCCCACCCCGCCGAUCUCAUUCCAGCAGUCUUCUUCAGCCCCCUUAACCUGCCUCGGUUCUUGAGAGUUUAAACAAGACGGGGGAGUGAUGUGGCACUCUUCUCCUCCCCUCUCCUCCCCUCCCUACCCAGCUUGAAGGUGCCUAGAAG
rnacentral:lncRNA from 1 species